UGAGCGAGAAAAGGAGGGGAGGGGGGGAGGAUAAGGAAGAAACUACGCGAGGGACGGAGAGGAAGAGCCGGGGACACAGAAGUGGCGGUCGGGAAAGGAGAGGGAGACGAUCUACUUCUCUUCUGCUACUACCGUUAGGUUGCAUGUCUAAUAUUCCAUUUCGUCCGCGACGACUCGUAAUUUUUUUUUUUCCCCCAAAACCUUCUGAGCAAUCGCCUGCCAACUUAAAAGAGGAGCCACAGCGCUCCGAGCUCUCCUUCAAGGAUUGAGGAUUUAUCUGCGCUCGUGUUGGCAAUAAGAUACAAAUGAAAACACAUCCCCUCACUUCGUGAUUAUUAAGAAAUUAUUUUCAGGGAGCUUCACAUGUGAGCAAAGCCUAGGUUUGAUGCAGCCGAUUGUGUUACUCUCUCUGUUAAAUUAUUUAUUAAAGAGAGUGAAAAUUCCAGGACAGUUGUGGGGGGAAAGGCAGUCUGAAGUCACUUCAGGAUAAUGGAAUCCUCUGUAUUUAGUUUCUUAUUUCCUGAUAGAUUAUGGAAAGAAAGAAAUGCUUGCCAUGAUGUGGACCUUUCAGAAUAACUUCACUCUCACCCCAAAGGAGACUUUGAAGAAAUCAGGCACCCUUGAAGACUGAGAAAGGGGAAAACAAGAAAACACUUUUUUCUUACCUAAAACUCUGUAAUUAAUUCACCUGUCUUGCAUAGAAAACAACUAUCCCCACGUCCUUUAAGACCCCAGGCUAAUUGCCAGUGUUUUAUAGGAAUCACAUAUUAUUUUCUUUCAUAUUUGAGAAGUUUCAGUGUAUUUGGGGAAAGUCCUUUUCUCAGUUUGUCAGUGCAAAUGUGUUUUGUAAAUAAUGAGAAGAACAAAACAAGCUCACUAGUUGACUUGUAAAGACAGAAAGGGUAGCUAUGCUUAAAAACAUGAGGCUGAGUUUAGAAUGAUUCUCUUCCUCUUUGCCUUCCUCUCUCCUCUUCUCUUUCUAACUUGUUGCAUGGAGGAUUUUUUCUUUUUCAAGGAUUUUUGACCAACCUAUGAUCUGAACAUAGGUCAAGUUUGUUCUCUGUUUAUAUCUCUAGGAAUCUCAAGUAAUUAGGCUUUAAACCUGUCUGUACAGGUUUAUUAACUUCACAAGACAGAAACAAUGCUGAAGCAUUGGGUAGAGUUAAAAAAUAAACUAUUAGCAUCAGGUUCCCAGGGUUGGGAAAUUUCAUAAUGAAAUUCUGCCAUUUUGGUGCUGAAAUGAUGAUCACAUUUCUCUUUGUCAUUUUAAUUUUUUAAACUUUUUGAAAUUUUAGUGUCAAAAGGCACAGGAAAUAUCUACAGAGAAAUAUGGCACCAUUGACUAAGUUUAUGCUAAACUUUUUGGGGCACAGCAGUUAUAUCAGGAGGCUUUCCUGGGUCAUAAGAAUUCAGAAAAUUGAUUGUUGCUAAAAAGUAGAUAGACUUCUGCAAAGAUAGCUGGAGUUUACACAGUUGUUUGGCCUAAUUAGCCAAUGCAUUUUAAUAUAUUCAGAAAUAAUUUAUAUUACUUUUUCACUCCUCCCAUCAAUCCUCAAAAAUAGGGAUUCGAUAAUAUGUCACAUACAUCAAAACACCACGUUAAGUGUUGACACAUGUUUUGGAAAAUAGUACCUUUUUUAAAAAUGCCAAAUUACUAUGUUAAUGAGUGGGGGAAAAGAAGACGAUAUUGAGCCCUGAAAAACUAAUUUUAUUUUGGAAUUGCAUGCACAACUUUAAUAAAGUCCGAUAUAGCUAAAAACGCUAAACUAUAGUUUCCUCAUUUCAACUUCUAGAUCCAGAAAUGGGAAAAAAUCAGAAUUAAGUGCUGAGAAUCUGCCCUUAUCAUUCUCGUUUCUCACAUUUCCUUAAACUGCCACUCACCCAGUACCUGCCAUGUUCGGAAGCCACAGGCAGGAAGUACUAAUAGCUGACCAAGCCAUAAUCCCACCCAGCUUUGAAGCAAACUCCAAAUUUUCUGCAGGGAAUCCUGCGCCUCCCAGCACGUGCUCCGUUCAGAGGUAGGGCUUGGGGCCUUUACCCCCACCUGAAUGGGAGCUCCCCCCCACCCCCCAACCUCAGGUCUCUAAACCGUUUCUGAGAACUACCACAUGCCCCUUUGAUCAAACAAUAGGAUUAGAAGAAGCAUCUAAUGCAAAUUAAAUAUGUAGGGGGAAAAAGCCUCAAAUAUUUUAGAUUUAAGAUUCUUGUUUCUUUUUCUCUUUUUCUUUCCCUUUCUUUCUUUUAGAAAUGUUACCAAUGAUUAAGGCAAAUAGUAUUUAACAUCAGCAGAUAAAUCAACUCCACAGAGAUUUCAAAUUCUCACUCUUUCUCCUGCAUCUUUAGCUUUCAAAGCUUUUGUCUUGUUUGUUUAUUGUUUUACAUCCUUGGCUGUUUCAGGUCCUCUCCCUCCAUCUCAUCUUUUCCAACCUGCACCAAAUUUGCAUAAGCAAAACUCAAAGUACUGUAACUGAUAUUAGAAAAUUCUCCCUGUGUUUUGUGAAGACGUAUUGUGCUGAAAUCAAUAAGACUGUUUAAAAUUCAAAGACCUGCAAAUCGUUCUGUUUGUCCUUUGAUAGGGCCUGUGCUGAUUAAAAUGCUACCAAGAAAGCUUAAUUGCUGCACUAAUUAAGAAGUCUUUAAUUUCUUUCCUAGGAUGUCGUUUGAAGCUGAGCUUGUACCAGUUCAGGGAAGGUAUUUUCUUCCCUCCCUCUGCCCCCUCCUGGCCCCUCCCCUCUCCUCCCCGCUCCUCUCGUGCCCCGCGACGACAUCCCAAUGAAUGGGAACUAAUAGAGAGAGUGGUCUCAGGUCUCACCAUCUAUUACUUAACAGAAAUCGACACAGGACACAGAGUUCAGUGCAGUAUGAAUGCAGUUUUUCAGAAGAGCUGUAAGGUUGCAGGAGACAGUGAGGAAACACAGAGUAGCUGUUGCAGCUAAAGUCCCGGGGAAUACCUGGAUGACAACAGGCACUUUAGCUCGAUGAUGAGGGCAUCCUAUUUGGUUAAAAGGGGGCAGUGACAAGGGAAUGCUUCUACUGAAACAGGGCAACAUAAAAAAUAUAUUUUCCAAACCUGUGGUUUUUAAAAAAAGAAGAAUAAAUCUGUAGAAAGGAGGAUUUAUAGUUGGGAUUUGGUAAGUAUCAUUUUAUUUUACGAGUAUAAAAUCAUGAAUUCUAUGGGGAUUUAUUUUUGACCCGUUUUAUAACCCAGGGUGGCAUAGCACUGUAUUACAUCCUUUGCAUCAUUUUCUAUUGACCUAUUUUAUUCACUGAUUUCUCAAGUGGGGAAACUGACUAAAUGAUUUCACAAAGCUUUCUCUGUAAUCAAUAGUCAUUUUUUAGGUUUAUUCAUGCUGCAUUAUAAUUCUGGUAAAUGACUGCAAAGCAGAAGAUUGUAAGAAAGAUACAAAUAUUGACAAAGCCAGGAUAAGUCAUGUCUUUAAAUCUUAAGAGUUUCAAUAUAACAAUUGAUAUAGUUAUUUGAAAGAAAAAGAUUGAAAAUGCAUAUUUCAUGCACUAUAAAAAACAAAUGACUGGGUAACUUAAAGAUAACACAUAUCUGCAUAUGUUUCUGGUAUAUCUCAAAAUUUCCUGAAACCUUUGAGGAUCCUUUUCUAGCAUCACUAAGCGAAACAGAAACAAUUUGGCCAUUUGCACAAAGGAAACAAGAAAAGGUUCAUUACAAUUUUAUUCUUUCAAGUUUUCCCCAAGUUCUAUUAGAAGCAUGCACAGAAAAAUACAGAUAUAUACUUCAGAUAUAUACUGAAUUCCUUUCAGUGACAGGACAAGGAGAUAACACGCUUAAUAGAUUCAAAGGGAGAUUUACCAUUCCGAGCACGACGUCACUCUAAUUAUGUUUACUCUAAUUGAAAGCAAGGUUUUUUGGAAUCUGAAAUUACUUUCAGAAUUUUUUUUUUAAAUAAUGCAAGUGGAUCAAAUGUUGAUCACAAGCAUUUCAAUCUUUCAAAAUGUAUUGGAAAAUUAAAUGAAAAGUGGAGUUUGGUACAAACAAUGCCCCAGGGCAAAAAACAACUAACACUAGAUUUUCCAGUCCAGCCAUAACACAAAUCAAUUUGAGCACACUUCUAUGGCCAGACUGCCAGAUUGUUAUGACUGCUAAUUCACUCAAUCAAAGAGUGCAUUAGCACACCCGGCACAAAUAGCUUUAACAAUAGAGUGCACUUCUGAACAAUUCUAAGAUAUAUCACAACGGAGAACUAAAGAGGAAGAUCAUUUUUACAUCUGCAUAUUUACUAAUGGACCUGUUUCCUUAGUAAGGAAAAAAAAAAAAAAGACAGAUAAACUUCAGGCAGAGGUUUAUUAAAGAGCUAUCCAAGUUUGGCAAAUCUAGGAAGGUAUCAGGGUACCAGUAGUUCACUGACUUUGUUAAACGUUUCUCAGGAGAGAGUCCAAAAUUGAUGUUUGCACUUCAGUAGUAAAUCAUUGAAGAUGGAGAAAUUAUGCCAAGUAACUCUCUCAAGCCUUUUUAACUUAGACACUCGGCCUCACCAAUCAGCUCAGCAGAUAUACUUUGACUGCCUGAAGCACAGACUUCUCCACCUCUACACGUUCUGCCUCUGCCUUCCCCACCUAGGAUUCUAACUUCUGACUUGUAGUGACUCUCACUUCCUCAGUCUUCCCCUCUUUUCCAGUUCCCUGCCUUUCCUCAAGAACGAGGAAUAAGACUUUUAUCUCCCGGAUACACUCUCUAAUCAGGCGCAGAAGAGCUUGGUGAUAAAUUACCCGAAGGACAGAAGGUGGGGAGCUGAAGAUGGCUUUGAAAGCAGGAAAAGAUUUGAGAGGUGUAAAAGAAGGAAAUAGAAGAAUUGAAGGAUCCCAAAACGCCCACUAUGCACAUACUCAAGGUUGAACCAGAUUGUACAUUUCUAAGGUUCACAUCUCCAUCAGUCUUUGUUGUCUGUUCAUUUCCUGGGGGGGUGUGGAACCCAGUAGAACGAAGAGACAUUGCUAUCAGAGUUGUAAAAUGGUGUAUUACCCUGUGAGCAAUUGCACUUGGAAAGGAACCAGUAAUUUAUAUGAGAAGUGUUUAAGAUUGCCUGCUCACCCAGUGAUCCAUGCCAGGUCAGUUCCAGUAAUGCCAGAAAACAAAAGGAGGUGCACAUCACCGGGAAAGAGACACCUCGUAUGCCUUAAGAGCUUGUGAAGGGGAGCACUAAAAUGCCAUUUUCUCAAAUGAACUGGUCAUUACCAUUUAAAAUCCUAAGGGGCUGUGGGACUGGGGAGGAGAGAAAGAAUUUUUCUUUUGAUUUAACAGGGCUCUGAAGUACUAGUUUUAAGGGGGAGGUUUUUUGUUGUGAUUGUCUCAGCCCUAUGCUUUAGCAAAGGUUAAAUCCUGAAACAAAGGUGCAUUUUUUAAUAAUGGAAUGGAAAAGGAUGAACACGAUUCCUCUGAGAAUGCACUUGGCCCAUUUUUAAACUUAGAAAUGAACUGUUUUAAGGAUUACCAGUGCAAAUAGUAAUACAACCCUCCACUAGUAAUGUCUAUGCCAGGUUCUAAGUUGUUGUUAAUUUUUUCCUUGAAAAGAUGUGCCCAGAGCCACCCUUCACCCCGCUGGUUUUCAGGAGAAGACUAGGGAUACUGGCAGGAUGUUAUAUAAGAAUCACUUCCUAAGAAUUCUUCACAGGUCUCUUUAUUCUUGUUUAACAUAAUCAAAGCACAGGCUCGGAGUGGUAUCCUGGCAUUGGGGUACAGAUUGCUUCUCUGCCGUCCUCAGGCACGUGCUUUCCCCACAGACUGUAAAGUCGUUUCAGUUUUUCAACCAGAGUUCAUUCACAUGUCCAGCAUUUAGAGAAGGAACUGAAGAGACAGACCAUUUCCCAUGUAAGUCAGAAUUUA